CGACAGGUGUGAACAAACAUGCCCAGAUGGACGUUAUGGUGCCAAUUGUGCGUGUCCGUGUGGUCACUGUCUGGACACUGACGUCUGUGACAAGGUGACGGGG